UCUGUUGACACUGUUGAUAAAAGGAACUUGGUCAAAUGCGUCCAAGAAGGAAACAAGGGCCGUAAAAGAGAAGGAAGUUAUUACCUGAAUGUUGACAACUGGUAGGCAUAGUUCUGGUUCUGAGUUUCGUUUCAGUUGAGUUUCCAUAAACGCUCUCAUUGACUUGUUAUGAUUAAACUCUUAGUUCUUAAUCUUGUCUUGAGAGUGUGUUGAAUUACCCCGUUAUUACAAUCGAUAAUGAUAUCAGAUACACCUUUAUAUUUUUUCUAGUUUCCUUUGAUCUCAAAAUUCUCAAAUAUACAUUAUUAACUAACUGCUAAAAUGUACUCAUUUCUGUACUUCUGGGAAUGGGUCGAAGAACACCCAGUUCAUAGAAAAAACGAAGAUCCAUUUUGUCUUCUGGGAAGAGAGGAAGAAAAUACAUUUACGAGAAGGCAGUUUUUGUGAAGGUGUAGCACUCAAGAGGGCACUCCAUGCAAUUACUGCUAUCUUUGGAAAUGAUAUAUGCCUAUUUUUUGAAAACAAAAAUGUGAAUUUGGACAGAAGUCUUUGUUGAAGGCAAUGGAAAUCAGUGACUUUGAUCUUAUGUGUAUCAAAUAGAAAAAAAUAAGAAUUUGAUCCCAACUAUUGCACACUACCUUCAGAUUAUGCAGGAUGUCGUUUUUAGACGCUAGAUAUAUUAUCACGAGGACGAUUUCCUCUCCGAGUCAGUUUCACCCUGUCCACGUUUAAACUAAACUCAGAACUAUAUAUUGAAUAUUAGAAUAUUGGACAUAUAUUGAACGGGAUAUUGUUUCGAUUCCAAUCGAAUGCUUUUUCAUUCUAUUGCACGUUAUAGAUUGUAGGAAGGUUUUAUGAAUUUUAGGGGAAAAAAAACCUUAAGGCUCUUGUACGGAACAUGAAAUAA
rnacentral:lncRNA from 1 species